rnacentral:rRNA from 1 species
GAUGAACGCUAGCGAUAGGCUUAAGACAUGCAAGUCGAGCGGGGUGAUGGUGCUUGCACUAUCACUUAGCGGCGGACGGGUGAGUAAUGCUUAGGAAUCUGCCUAUUAGUGGGGGACAACAUCUCGAAAGGGAUGCUAAUACCGCAUACGUCCUACGGGAGAACGCAGGGGAGUACUUGUGACCUUGCGCUAAUAGAUGAGCAUAAGUCGGAUUAGCUAGUUGGUGGGGUAAAGGCCUACCAAGGCGACGAUCUGUAGCGGGUCUGGGAGGAUGAUCCGCCACACUGGGACUGAGACACGGCCCAGACUCCUACGGGAGGCAGCAGUGGGGAAUAUUGGACAAUGGGGGGAACCCUGAUCCAGCCAUGCCGCGUGUGUGAAGAAGGCCUUAUGGUUGUAAAGCACUUUAAGCGAGGAGGAGGCUCUUUUGGUUAAUGCCCAAGAUGAGUGGACGUUACUCGCAGAAUAAGCACCGGCUAACUCUGUGCCAGCCGCCGCCGUAA